rnacentral:lncRNA from 1 species
AAGACAUGAUUGCUCUCAGUGUCCCUGUCCCUGGAGGUGUUCAAGGCUAGAUUGAAUGGGACCCUGGGCAGCCUGGUCUGGUAUUAAAUGGGGAGGUUGGUGGCCCUGCAUGUGGCAGGGGGGUUGGAGAUUCAUGACCCUUGAGGUCCGUUCCAACCCUGGCCAUUCUGUGAUUAAAAUUAAUCUCUCUGCAUGAAUAACUUUAGGCAGGGAUCCUAAGGAAUGAGCUCUCCCUUCUUCAUUUUCUUUAGGUGUGAGUUGCCUUUUAAUGAAGAACUGGGAAACUUGGCUCCUUCUCCAGACUCCUGAUACUCCAGAAUGUGACAAAGACAGCAUGAGCCUUGCCUGCUCUUUGGCUGAUGAAAGUCUGCAUCCUAUUGCUACCUCUCAUGUGUGCCAGCUCCAGAAGAGGAUGAGAUAUGAAAAUCUCAUCUGAGUUUGCUGCUGUAAUCGUUAUUUUGGAGGCUCCAAUCACUGUUACCCUGCUGCUCAGGCUCUUGAACUUCAGCCUACAGCCUGCUGUCACUGUGCUGACAGGUGUUUUGAGCCCGAAUAAGUGGUACUGCAAUGAAUUUCAGAUGUAAGCAUUGCCAGAUGCUUCCCUGACAUGUUUCUUCCUGCUGUGCAGAGCUCAGACAUGAGUGCUUUUCAUCUGAGGAACGAGAAACAACAGUAUCUUCAGGCAAUGGGAUCAGUCUUCUGGAUCACUACUACUCUUUUUCUCUUCAUCCUUGACCAGAAGUUGUGGCUUCUCACAUUGCUGAUAGAAAUGCUGAGGCAGGUUGAAUACAACAUCAGAAGCUGUUUGGGGCUGAAUCGUCACCUGCCCAAGUGUGUUGAAGAUGGAUGUGCAGUAUGGCUAUUGCUGUCUGAUCUGGAUAGCUCAAUGACAUGGGCUUUCAUUGGGAUGAUAAGCACUUGCUACUUCAGGGAGUUUAGCGUGAAUGCAAAGCUGUCAUUCGCCAGGCUAAAGACUCAGCUCCUCAACAUACAUUUUUGAGUGUUGUAGGCAUAAAAAUGCCUACAUCAGGCUGUUUUUGGCAUGCUCCUUAACAUGGUGAACAGCUGCACUCCCAAAGUCUCCAACCAUCAACUCCCAAGGUGUGGAUGAAGGCUUUGUACCCUGAGCCUUUAUGUUCAAUUCUUGGAAGGGACAUGUUCCCUUGACUUGCAGUGAGUUAGCGACAGGCUUAUUUCAUGCUACUGGAAAAUGGUAUGGUGAUAUCAUAACAAAAAAAUGUGCAAGGCUUUGUAUUGG